rnacentral:rRNA from 11 species
UACUAUAGCCUAAACACCUUAAAAGCACUGGAUCCCACCUGAUUUUGUAAGCUAAACAGGGACAGCUCUGGCUAAUACUUGGACAGGGGACAACCAUUGAAUACUUGCUGCUGUAGGCU